AUUGAACGCUGGCGGCAUGCCUAACACAUGCAAGUCGAACGAGUGGCGGACGGGUGAGUAAUGUCUGGGAAACUGCCCGAUGGAGGGGGAUAACUACUGGAAACGGUAGCUAAUACCGCAUACCAUCGGAUGUGCCCAGAUGGGAUUAGCUAGUAGGUGGGGUAACGGCUCACCUAGGCGACGAUCCCUAGCUGGUCUGAGAGGAUGACCAGCCAAACUGGAACUGAGACACGGCCCAGACUCCUACGGGAGGAAGCAGGGGGGAAUAUUGCACAAUGGGAGCAAGCCUGAUGCAGCCAUGCCGCGUGUAUGAAGGAGGCCUUCGGGUUGUAAAGUACUUUCAGUGGGGAGGCGGUACUCGCAGAAGAAGCACCGGCUAACUCCGUGCCAGCAGCCGCGGUAAUUC
rnacentral:rRNA from 1 species